rnacentral:rRNA from 1 species
GAUGAACGCUAGCGGCAGGCUUAAUACAUGCAAGUCGUGGGGCAGCAUGUUUGUAGCAAUACAUUUGGUGGCGACCGGCAAACGGGUGCGGAACACGUACACAACCUUCCUAUAAGUGGGGAAUAGAACAGAGAAAUUUGGAUUAAAACCCCGUAACAUAACGAUGUGGCAUCACAUUGGUAUUAUAGCUUCGGCGCCUAUUGAUUGGUGUCGGGUUGACUUAGAUAGUUGGCGGGGUAACGGGCCACCAAGUCUACGAACAGUAGAUGCGGUGGUGACAUGAUACACGACACGAGCACUGCGCCACGGGCCCGACUCCGACGGGAGGCAACAGUAAGGACUAUUGGUCAAUCGACGCAAGUCUGAACAAGCCAUGCCGCGUGAGAGAUUAAGGUCCUCUGAAUUGUAAACUUCUUUUAUCUGGAACGAAAAAAGGCUUUUCUACGUCACUUGACGGUACCAAAUGAAUAAGCACCGGCUAACUCCGUGCCAGCCGCCGCGGUAAGAC